UGGGGAAUAUUGGACAAUGGGCGAAAGCCUGAUCCAGCCAUGCCGCGUGUGUGAAGAAGGUCUUCGGAUUGUAAAGCACUUUAAGUUGGGAGGAAGGGCAGUAAGCUAAUACCUUGCUGUUUUGACGUUACCGACAGAAUAAGCACCGGCUAACUUCGUGCCAGCAGCCGCGGUAAUACGAAGGGUGCAAGCGUUAAUCGGAAUUACUGGGCGUAAAGCGCGCGUAGGUGGUUCGUUAAGUUGGAUGUGAAAGCCCCGGGCUCAACCUGGGAACUGCAUCCAAAACUGGCGAGCUAGAGUAUGGUAGAGGGUGGUGGAAUUUCCUGUGUAGCGGUGAAAUGCGUAGAUAUAGGAAGGAACACCAGUGGCGAAGGCGACCACCUGGACUGAUACUGACACUGAGGUGCGAAAGCGUGGGGAGCAAAACAGGAUUAGAUACCCUGGUAGUCCACGCCGUAAAGCGAUGUCAACUAGCCGUUGGGUUCCUUGAGAACUUAGUGGCGCAGCUAACGCAUUAAGUUGACCGCCUGGGGAGUACGGCCGCAAGGUUAAACUCAAAUGAAUUGACGGGGUCAUAGCUGUUUCCUG
rnacentral:rRNA from 1 species